GACGAACGCUGGCGGCGUGCCUAAUACAUGCAAGUCGAGCGAAUCUGAGGGAGCUUGCUCCCAAAGAUUAGCGGCGGACGGGUGAGUAACACGUGGGCAACCUGCCUGUAAGACUGGGAUAACUCCGGGAAACCGGGGCUCAUACAGGAUAAUAUCUAGUUAUACAUAUAAUUAGAUUGAAAGAUGGUUCUGCUAUCACUUACCGAUAGGCCCGCGGCGCGUUCGCUAGUUGGUGAGGUAACGGCUCACCAAGGCGACGAUGCGUAGCCGACCUGAGAGGGUGAUCGGCCACACUGGGACUGAGACACGGCCCAGACUCCUACGGGAGGCAGCAGUAGGGAAUCUUCCGCAAUGGACGAAAGUCCGACGGAGCAACGCCGCGUGAGUGAUGAAGGUUUUCGGAUCGUAAAACUCUGUUGUUAGGGAAGAACAAGUACCGGAGUAACUGCCGGUACCUUGACGGUACCUAACCAGAAAGCCACGGCUAACUACGUGCCAGCCGCCGCAGUAAAAC
rnacentral:rRNA from 1 species